rnacentral:ncRNA from 15 species
CUCUUAUCAAGAGUAGCUGAGGGACUGGCCCUAUGAAGCUCGGCAACCUCCUUUUAUAAAGGAAGGUGCUAAAUCCUGCAAACGAAAUUCGUUUGAUAGAUAAGAG